rnacentral:lncRNA from 1 species
GAGCUGCACGGGUCAGUUGAAAGUUAGAUUUUGUUUUGCUUAAUUUUUGGUUUGGCAAUUUCAUUUCCUUUCAUUAAUGUCAUAAGCAAUAUGCGACACAUUUUAUAUAUUGAAAGGUAUCCACAAUUUUUCAAGACUGGCAACUUUAAAUUUCUCUCUCUUUUUUUUUAGAGAAUGGCAACUUUAAGUUUUUCAAGGACCAUCCCUGGGUAAUAACUCAAGGAUUGAUGUGAUAUAUGUUAUCAAGAGGAAUUAGUAAUUUCAAUUCACUUACCAUUAGGCUUUUCAUAUUCUACCUCUGCGAUAGUCAUUAAACUUCAUGUCUUUUCAAGAAAGUGAUAAAAAAAUUAAUUUCACCCUUAAUAAUUUUGCUUUCUCUUAUCUUGAUUCAUUAUAGAUUGUAUCACAAAAUCCAAGAACAGGAAAAAAAACUUUGUAAAAGUUAUUGUAAUAGUGAGUAGCAACAUAAUUAAUUCCUUUUGAAUGUGAAUGCAUUUUGCUUUUCUAAUAGACAAUCUACUUUGUAAAAUGUUUACUUGCCAUGGGAAUCAACAAGGAAUUCUAACCUAAUAGAAUGAUAAUGUUCAUUUUUUUUGUUAGGUACCAAGGAGCAUGAAGUGUUUAUGUAACUUCAACAUGAGCAGCCAAAAAGGUUUUAUAGGUGUGUAAAAUGCCAUUGACUUUCAUAAAUAAGGUAUUAAGGAAUUGGAUAGCCGUGUCGAGACGAAUAUCUGGCUUCUCCUAGCUUGUUUUGAACUUACAACCUCAGGUUUGGACUUGACUAGGAUAGAUUGAUAUUUAGUGGACCUUAACU